rnacentral:rRNA from 1 species
GACGAACGCUGGCGGCGUGCUUAACACAUGCAAGUCGAACGGAGAGGCCCUGCUUUUGUGGGGUGCUCGAGUGGCGAACGGGUGAGUAACACGUGAGUAACCUGCCCCUGACUUUGGGAUAACUUCAGGAAACUGGGGCUAAUACCGGAUAGGAGCUCCUGCUGCAUGGUGGGGGUUGGAAAGUUUCGGCGGUUGGGGAUGGACUCGCGGCUUAUCAGCUUGUUGGUGGGGUAGUGGCUUACCAAGGCUUUGACGGGUAGCCGGCCUGAGAGGGUGGCCGGCCACAUUGGGACUGCGGUACGGCCCAGACUGCUACGGGAGGCAGCAGUGGGGAAUAUUGCACAGUGGGCGGACGCCUGAGGCAGCAACGCCGCGUGCGGGAUGACGGCCCUCGGGUUGUAAACCGAUUUCGAAUGAGCCGAAGCGGGAGUGACGGUACUGGGUAAAGAAGCACCGGCUAACUACGUG